AUGGUAUAAUAAAAUCGGAGGCCACGACUGUUUACUAAAAACACAAUUCAGAGCAAUAAUUAAGAUAAUAGUAUUCUGGAUGAAAUUUGCUCAAUGCCAUUAAUAUAAAAGAGGUAAUUUUAAAGUUACUAAUUGAAAAUCUGGUUAAUAGCGGUCUUAACUAUGAGGAUCCUAAGGUAGCAAAAUAAAUUGGCCAUUAAAUGUGGUCUUGUAUCAAUAAUGU
rnacentral:rRNA from 1 species